GACUCUGUAUAGCUCAGUUGGUUAGAGCGAUGCUCCGGAAUUGCAGGACAGCAGGUUCGAAUCCUGCCAGGGAUC